rnacentral:tRNA from 1 species
UGGCUCAGUGGUCAGAGUACUUGGCUGCUAACCAAAAGGUCGGCGGUUUGAACCCACC